GAUGAACGCUGGCGGCGUGCUUAACACAUGCCAGUCGAACGAAGCACUUUAUUUGAUUUCCUUCGGGACUGAUUAUUUUGUGACUGAGUGGCGGACGGGUGAGUAACGCGUGGGUAACCUGCCUUGUACAGGGGGAUAACAGUUGGAAACGGCUGCUAAUACCGCAUAAGCGCACGGCAUCGCAUGAUGCAGUGUGAAAAACUCCGGUGGUAUAAGAUGGACCCGCGUUGGAUUAGCUAGUUGGUGAGGUAACGGCCCACCAAGGCGACGAUCCAUAGCCGACCUGAGAGGGUGACCGGACACAUUGGGACUGAGACACGGCCCAAACUCCUACGGGAGGCAGCAGUGGGGAAUAUUGCACAAUGGGCGAAAGCCUGAUGCAGCGACGCCGCGUGAGCGAAGAAGUAUUUCGGUAUGUAAAGCUCUAUCAGCAGGGAAGAUAAUGACGGUACCUGACUAAGAAGCACCGGCUAAAUACGUG
rnacentral:rRNA from 1 species